rnacentral:rRNA from 1 species
AUGAACGCUGGCGGCGUGCUUAACACAUGCAAGUCGAACGGAAAGGCUCCUGCUUGCAGGGGUACUCGAGUGGCGAACGGGUGAGUAACACGUGGGUGAUCUGCCCUGCACUUCGGGAUAAGCCUGGGAAACUGGGUCUAAUACCGGAUAGGACGAUGGUUUGGAUGCCAUUGUGGAAAGUUUUUCGGUGUGGGAAGAGCUCGCGGCCUAUCAGCUUGUUGGUGGGGUAAUGGCCUACCAAGGCGUCGACGGGUAGCCGGCCUGAGAGGGUGUACGGCCACAUUGGGACUGAGAUACGGCCCAGACUCCUACGGGAGGCAGCAGUGGGGAAUAUUGCACAAUGGGCGCAAGCCUGAUGCAGCGACGCCGCGUGGGGGAUGACGGCCUUCGGGUUGUAAACUCCUUUCGCUAGGGACGAAGCGCAAGUGACGGUACCUGGAGAAGAAGCACCGGCUAACUACGUG